rnacentral:rRNA from 1 species
UACGUAUGUCGCAAGCGUUAUCCGGAUUUAUUGGGCGUAAAGCGCGUCUAGGCGGUUUAGUAAGUCUGAUGUAAAAAUCCGGGGCUCAACCACGUAGUGCGUUGGAAACUGCUAAACUAGAGUACUGGAGAGGAAGGCGGAACUACAAGUGUAGCGGUGAAAUUCGUAGAUAUAUGUAGGAAUGCCGGUGGGGAAGGCAGCCUACUGGACAGACACUGACGCUAAAGCGCGAAAGCGUGGGUAGCAAACAGG